AGAGUUUGAUUAUGGCUCAGAAGGGCACCUGCGACUGACUCACCAUGCAGGUCGAGCGCCCCGCAAGGGGAGCGGCAGACGGGUGAGUAACGCGAGGGAGCAUACCCUUUGGUUCGGAAUAACUCACUGGAAACUUGAGCUAAUACCGGAUACGUCCGUAAGGAGAAAGAUUUAUCGCCAAAGGAUUGGCCCGCAGUCCGAUUAGCUAGUUGGAUGAGGUGAACGGCCUCACCAAGGCUACGAUCGGUAGCUGGUCUGAGAGGAUGAUCAGCCACAUUGGGACUGAGACACGGUCCACACUCCUACGGGAGGCAGCAGUGGGGGAUAUUGGACAAUGGGCGCAAGCCUGAUCCUGCCAUGCCGCGUGAGUGAUGAAAGCCUUAGGGUUGUAAAGCUCUUUUGUCCGGGAAGAUAAUGACUGUACCGGAAGAAUAAGCCCCGGCUAACUUCCUGCCAGCAUCCGCGGUAAUACGAAGGGGGCUAGCGUUGUUCGGAAUCACUGGGCGUCUAGCGCACGUAGGCGGACCGUUGAGUCGGAGGUGACAGCCUGGGGCUCAACCCCAGAACUGCCUUCGAUACUGGCAGUCUUGAGUUGGUAGAGGUUGGUGGAACUCCGAUGUGAGAGAAAUCGUAGAUAUUCGGAAGAACACUGUCGGAAGCUGGCACUGGAAAUUACUGAACUUAGUGAAAACGUGGUAGCAAAGGUUAGAACCCUGGAAGACACCUGUAACAUGAGACUAUCGUUAUUAUGCAGCUCUCUUGGACACUAACGCGUAAGCUCUUGCCUGGGAGUCGGCCCAGAUAAAAUCAAUGAAUUGACGGGG
rnacentral:rRNA from 1 species